rnacentral:rRNA from 1 species
UACGGAGGGUGCGAGCGUUAAUCGGAAUUACUGGGCGUAAAGCGCACGCAGGCGGUUUGUUAAGCUAGAUGUGAAAGCCCCGGGCUCAACCUGGGAUGGUCAUUUAGAACUGGCAGACUAGAGUCUUGGAGAGGGGAGUGGAAUUCCAGGUGUAGCGGUGAAAUGCGUAGAUAUCUGGAGGAACAUCAGUGGCGAAGGCGACUCCCUGGCCAAAGACUGACGCUCAUGUGCGAAAGCUAGGGUAGCAAAUGGG